AGUAAGCUAAUAGUGCGUCGGACUCAUUUAUAUCUAUAUAUAUAUAUAUAUAUAUAUAUAGAUGUAGUUCCGGCGCAUUUUAGUUUAGAUGCACAAC
rnacentral:miRNA from 1 species